CCUACGGGUGGCAGCAGUGGGGAAUAUUGGGCAAUGGGCGCAAGCCUGACCCAGCAACGCCGCGUGAAGGAAGAAGGCUUUCGGGUUGUAAACUUCUUUUGUCAGGGAAGAGUAGAAGACGGUACCUGACGAAUAAGCUACGGCUAACUACGUGCCAGCAGCCGCGGCAAUACGUAGGUGGCAAGCGUUGUCCGGAUUUACUGGGUGUAAAGGGCGUGUAGCCGGGUUGACAAGUCAGAUGUGAAAUCCUGCGGCUUAACCGCAGAACUGCAUGUGAAACUGUAGAUCUUGAGUACUGGAGAGGCAGGUGGAAUUACUAGUGUAGCGGUGAAAUGCGUAGAUAUUAGGAGGAACACCAGUGGCGAAGGCGGUCUGCUGGACAGCAACUGACGGUGAGGCGCGAAAGCGUGGGGAGCAAACAGGAUUAGAUACCCGUGUAGUC
rnacentral:rRNA from 1 species